rnacentral:rRNA from 1 species
GCAAGUCGAGCGGACGGAGGGAGCUUGCUCCCGGAAGUCAGCGGCGGACGGGUGAGUAACACGUGGGUAACCUGCCUGUAAGACUGGGAUAACUCCGGGAAACCGGGGCUAAUACCGGAUAGCUUCUUCCUCCGCAUGGAGGAAGAAUGAAAGGCGGCCUUUGGCUGUCACUUACAGAUGGACCCGCGGCGCAUUAGCUAGUUGGUGGGGUAACGGCUCACCAAGGCGACGAUGCGUAGCCGACCUGAGAGGGUGAUCGGCCACACUGGGACUGAGACACGGCCCAGACUCCUACGGGAGGCAGCAGUAGGGAAUCUUCCGCAAUGGACGAAAGUCUGACGGAGCAACGCCGCGUGAGUGAAGAAGGUUUUCGGAUCGUAAAGCUCUGUUGUCAGGGAAGAACAAGUACCGGAGUCACUGCCGGUACCUUGACGGUACCUGACCAGAAAGCCACGGCUAACUACGUGCCAGCAGCCGCGGUAAUACGUAGGUGGCAAGCGUUGUCCGGAAUUAUUGGGCGUAAAGCGCGCGCAGGCGGCCUUUUAAGUCUGAUGUGAAAGCCCACGGCUCAACCGUGGAGGGUCAUUGGAAACUGGAAGGCUUGAGUGCAGAAGAGGAGAGCGGAAUUCCACGUGUAGCGGUGAAAUGCGUAGAGAUGUGGAGGAACACCAGUGGCGAAGGCGGCUCUCUGGUCUGUAACUGACGCUUAGGCGCGAAAGCGUGGGGAGCGAACAGGAUUAGAUACCCUGGUAGUCCACGCCGUAAACGAUGAGUGCUAAGUGUUGGAGGGUUUCCGCCCUUCAGUGCUGCAGCUAACGCCAUAGACAUUCCCCCUGGGGAAUUACGGCCCCAAGGCUGAAACUCAAAGGAAUUGACGGGGGCCCGCACAAGCGGUGGACCAUGUGGUUUAUUUCGACCACCGCAAAGAACCUUACCAGGUCUUGAACUC